rnacentral:rRNA from 1 species
UAUUUCUACAAUGGGGCGAAAGCCUGAUCCAGCCAUGCCGCGUGUGUGAUGAAGGCCUUCGGGUUGUAAAGCACUUUAAGUUGGGAGGAAGGGCAUUAACCUAAUACGUUAGUGUUUUGACGUUACCUACACAAAAAGCCCCGGCUAACUUUGUGCCCCCCGCC